AGGGAUCAUUGCUGGAACGCGCUUCGGCGCACCCAGAAACCCUUUGUGAACUUAUACCUAUUGUUGCCUCGGCGUAGGCCGGCUUUUUCUAAAAGCCCCCUGGAAACAGGGAGAAGCCCGCCGGCGGCCAACCAAACUCUUGUUUCUACAGUGAAUCUCUGAGUAAAAAACAUAAAUGAAUCAAAACUUUCAACAACGGAUCUCUUGGUUCUGGCAUCGAUGAAGAACGCAGCGAAAUGCGAUAAGUAAUGUGAAUUGCAGAAUUCAGUGAAUCAUCGAAUCUUUGAACGCACAUUGCGCCCUCUGGUAUUCCGGAGGGCAUGCCUGUUCGAGCGUCAUUUCAACCCUCAAGCCUGGCUUGGUGAUGGGGCACUGCCUGUAAAAGGGCAGGCCCUGAAAUCUAGUGGCGAGCUCGCCAGGACCCCGAGCGUAGUAGUUAUAUCUCGCUCUGGAAGGCCCUGGCGGUGCCCUGCCGUUAAACCCCCAACUUCUGAAAAUUUGACCUCGGAUCAGGUAGGAAUACCCGCUGAACUUAA
rnacentral:rRNA from 1 species